ACUCACUGAAUGGCAAGGCUAAAAGAGCUAUAACACAAACAGGGCUGAAACAUGCUGUUUGCCCACCAUGUCGCAGCAGACAAGAGGAGAGAAGAAGGAAGAGAAGAGCUGUGGCCCUUUGGGGAGCCCAGACCUAGGAGCAACCCCAAGCCAGACACUUUCUGCCCAGCAGUGGAUGCUUAAUUAAUACGUGGGGAAUGGCCAGAAUGCAAAAGGAACUCAGAAAGAGUGGGACCCACUCAGCCUGGGGAAGCCAAGGAGUACUUCAUAAACCUGUGCUAUUUUAGUUGGGUAUGAAAGAUUAUUAGGAGUGUGUUAGUGAAAAAAAAGAGGGAAGGACACUCCAGACAAGAGGAAUGGCAUGAACUGAAGCUCAGAGUUGAAACAGGUUAUGGCUUGUACAGAAAUCUGGGAGAAGUUAGGACACCUGGGACAUGGGCUAUGCGGCAGGAGAUGCGUCUGGGAGCGAGGCAGACAGGAGUCUGGAAUUAUCCUGGAAGCCAACAGACAUCUUUCUAAAGGAAAGUGAUGAGUCAGAUUUGUUUUUUCUGAAGAAACUUUUUAUAUGAACUCACAAAGAUAUCAUGAGGCUAUUGAAAGUCAAGGAAAUCUCCUCAUCCCCCCAACAGCCCUGAGGGAGCAGAAGAGAGACAAGCCCAUAAUAUUCUUCGUACUUUUAGAAAGAAAGACACUAUAAACCAUAACAGAAUUCAAAGUGGCUAUCAUCGACCUUUAAAGUACUUUUAUUACGAAGAAUGACGAGGAAAAAAAAGGCAAAAUUUCCACCAAGCAAGUUUGGGAUUAGGAAAUUAUAAUGUAAAGGGGUUUUUAAAGGUUAUUUAUUUUGGCUAUUUGUAAUGCACACACAUAUGUGGAUAAAGAGGUUUUUGUGUGCAUAUACAUUGGAAUGAAAAUUCUAGAGAAUUUAUAAGCAGGAAACUAAGAUAUUCCCAACCGCUGCUUCUACAGACAAAUCUUGAGGGGUGAGGAAAGAUCUAAAAAGAUAAUAAAUAAAUGUGGGUUAGGUAACUGAGCCUCUGGAGGCUUUUCACUACUUGGUGGAAAAACUUCCUGACAGUGGAUCCAAGUCCCUGGGAUUAAGACCAGAUGUGAGCACAGAGAUUCAGGGAGAACAGAAUAGUUUCCACCUAAAAAAAGAGUCUUUCAGUAAAGGUAUCAUCCAACUGCAUGAAAGGUGAUAUCUAAGGGAUGACUCCUAACAAGCAGUAGAAAAAAGUAAGAAAAAAAAAAAAAAGAAAAUGAGUGAAGAGUGUAAGAAUCACAGACAGUUUUCAAGUCUGAAUGAACUCAGAGAGGACUCCAUUCUAGACCCUUUUCCAUCUCACUUAGGCAAGGAGGGUUAUCUUUGCCAAAAGAAGAAGGGUUUACUUUUCAGAGCCUCCACCCUCUCCCAUCCCCUUGGCUCCUAGCAAACCUUGAGGUUUUCCUUCUUCAAACAUCCUCGCUUCCGUGGCAUAUUCUUUGCCUUCGGACUCCAAAGAGGAAGCUCAUUUCUGAUGAGCUCUCUAGAGGCAUCUCUGAAAGGUUUUCUUGGCCCUCCCCACAUGAUCCACAUAAACAGCAGAACCCUAAAACUCAGGUUUUGUCUCAAAACACCUGCAAAGGGCAGAUAUAAAGGCCUACAAUGUGAAGAUAAGCCACUGUAACACCCACGGGAACUGAAGACUUCCAUUCAGAUACAUCAGAGGUGAGUGUGUCAACAGGGCAGAGAGGGAGGGAGGCUCCUUCAGGCUGUUCCCACAGCCUGCACAAGAAAACAUUCUCUGUGUCAUGAUGUAACUUGAAAACAACUCUUUAGGGAAAAUAGUACGUUAGUGCACCACAAGUCUUGCUCUAGGAAAGGUUUCACCAAGGCAUCCUGAAAUUUCUAUAAUGCCUUCUACAUCAGUCACAGGAAUCAGAAAAUCCCAUGGCUAUCAUCUCUUGGUAGCUAUGAGCUAACUUUAACAACAAAAUACUGAUCCUCAGCUUCUAACUUAUCCAAAAAAGCAGUGCCUUCAAUCCUGGCUGCAUAUUAGAAUAGCCUGGGAGGCUUAAAAAAAUAUUUGAAAUCAGGAGAGUAUAAGUGGCUAUACUAAUAUCAGACAAAAUCGAAUUUAAGACAAAAAAAAGUUCAGUUCCUAGAGUCAAAGUAGAACUUUUAUGAUAAAAUAGCCAAUGUCUUCUAUCAGGAAGACAUAAUUACAUGUACUUAAAAACAGAGCCCCAAGAUUCUUGAAGCAAAAACUGACAGAAUUAAAGGAAGAAAUAGUCAGUUAAACAAUGAUAGUUAGAAACUUCAGUACUCCAUCUUCAAUAAUGGAUAGAAUAACUAGGCUGAAGAUCAACAAGAAAACAGAAGGCAUGAACACCACCACAAAGUGGACCUAAUAGAAGUCUACAGGACAUGCUACCCAACAACCACAGAACACAUUCUUCCCAAGCAUACAUGAAACAUUCUCCAGGACAGACCAAAUGUUAGGACAUAAAACAAACCUCAAUACAGUUAAAAGGAAUGCAAUCAUAUAACAUAUGUUCUCCAACCAAAAUGGAAUGAAAUUAGAAAUCAACAACAGAAGGAAAUUUGUGAAACUCACAAGUAUGUGGAAAUUAACACACUCCUAAAUAACCAAUGGGUCGGAAGAUCAAAAAUAAAAUUAAAAAAUAAUUUGAGAUGAAUGAAAACAAAAGCACAAUAUACCAAAACAAGGCUGAGAGUGAAAGUUAUAGCUGUAAAUGCCUACAUUAGAAAACAAGAACGAUUUCAAACUCAUACACAAAAAAACUAUUAGAACUAGCCAAGAGUGGUAGCUCAUGCCUGUAAUCCCAGCACUUUGGGAGGCUAAGAAGGGCAGAUCACUUGAGCCCAGGAGCUGGAGACCAGCCUGGGCAACAUGGCAAAACCCCAUCUCUACAAAAAAAAAAAAAAAAAAAAAUUAAUUAGCCAGGUGUGGUGGCCUGCACCUGUAGUCCAGCUAUUUGGGAGGCUGAGGCAGGAGUAUCACUUGAGCCUGGGAGGUCAAGGCUGCAGUGAGCUGUGAUCACACCACUGCACUCCUGCACUCUAGCCUGGGCAACAGAGUGAGAUCCUGUCUCAAAAAUUUUUUAAAAAAAACUAUUAGAACUAACGAACAAGUUUAGCAAGGUUGCAGGAGACAAGGUGGAUACACCAAAAUCAAUUGUAUUUGUAUACACUAGCAAUCAGCAAUCCAAAAAUGAAAUUAUGAAAACAAUUCCAUUUCCAAUAGUAUCAAAAAUAAUAAAAUACUUAGGAAUAAUUUUAACAAAAGAAGUGUAAGACUUGUACACUGAAAACUACAACACAUCACUGAAAUAAAGAAGACCUAAGUAAACAGAAAGCCAAACCAUGUUCAAAAAUUGAAAGACUUAAAAUUGGGUAAGAUGGCAAUACUCCCCAAAUUGAUCCACAGAGUCUAUGGAACCCUUAUACUAAAAUCUCAGCUAGCUUCUUGGCAGAAUGGACAAGCUGAUCAUAAAUUCAUAUGGAGAUUCAAGGGACUCUGAAUAGCCAAAACCAUAUUGAAAAAGAAGAACAAAAUUAGAGGACUAACAGUUCUCAAUUUAAAAAUGUACUACACAAAGCUAGAGUAAUUAAGACACUGUGGUUAUUGGCAUAAGGGUACACAUAUGGAUCAAUAAAAUAAAAUUGAGUGUCUAGAAACAAACCUUUACUUUUCUAGUCAAUUGAUUUUUGACAAGAGUGCCAAGAAAAUUCACUGGAUAGUCUUUUCAACAAAUGGCUGAAACAACUGGAAAUUCACAUAUAAAAGAACGAAACUGGACUCCUAUAUUCCAUAUAAUGGAAUGAAGUACUGAUACAUGAUACAACACAGAUGAACCUUGAAAACAUUAUUCUAAGUCAAAGAAGCUAGACACAAAAGGCCACAUACUGUAUGAUUCCAUUAUAUGAAAUGUCCAGAAUAGGCAAAUCUGUAGAGACAAAAAGUGGAUUAGUGGUUCCCAGGGACUAAGAGAGGGAAGAAUGGGGAAUGACUGCUAAUGGGUACAUGGUUUCUUCCUGGGGUGAUUAAAAUGUUCUAAAAUUAGAUAGUCGCAAUAAAUUGCACAGCUCUCUGAACAUAACCAAAUAAAGAACAAAACUUUCUGGU
rnacentral:lncRNA from 10 species